GAUGAACGCUGGCGGCGUGCCUAAUACAUGCCAGUCGAGCGAACGGACGAGAAGCUUGCUUCUCUGAUGUUAGCGGCGGACGGGUGAGUAACACGUGGAUAACCUACCUAUAAGACUGGGAUAACUUCGGGAAACCGUAGCUAAUACCGGAUAAUAUUUUGAACCGCAUGGUUCAAAAGUGAAAGACGGUCUUGCUGUCACUUAUAGAUGGAUCCGCGCUGCAUUAGCUAGUUGGUAAGGUAACGGCUUACCAAGGCAACGAUGCAUAGCCGACCUGAGAGGGUCAUCGGCCACACUGGAACUGAGACACGGUCCAGACUCCUACGGGAGGCAGCAGUAGGGAAUCUUCCGCAAUGGGCGAAAGCCUGACGGAGCAACGCCGCGUGAGUGAUGAAGGUCUUCGGAUCGUAAAACUCUGUUAUUAGGGAAGAACAUAUGUGUAAGUAACUGUGCACAUCUUGACGGUACCUAAUCAGAAAGCCACGGCUAACUACGUG
rnacentral:rRNA from 1 species